CGCGUAGGUGGUAGUGUAAGUCUGAGGUGGAAUCCUAUGGCUUAACCAUAGAACUGCCUUGGAUACUGUAUUACUUGAGUCAGUGAGGGGAGGGUAGAAUUCCUGGUGUAGCGGUGAAAUGCGUAGAUAUCAGGAGGAAGGCCUGUGGCGAAGGCGGCCCUCUGGUGCUGGACUGACACUGAGGCGCGAAAGCGUGGGGAGCAAACAGGAUUAGAUACCCUGGUAGUCCACGCCCUAAACGGUGGGCACUAGGUGUAGGGCUCGCAAGGGUUCUGUGCCGAAGGGAAACCAUUAAGUGCCCCGCCUGGGGAGUACGGCCGCAAAGGUUGAA
rnacentral:rRNA from 1 species